GACGAACGCUGGCGGCGUGCUUAACACAUGCAAGUCGAACGGAAAGGCCCAGCUUUUGUGGGGUGCUCGAGUGGCGAACGGGUGAGUGACACGUGAGUAACCUGCCCUUGACUUUGGGAUAACUUCAGGAAACUGGGGCUAAUACCGGAUAGGAGCUCCUGCUGCAUGGUGGGGGUUGGAAAGUUUCGGCGGUUGGGGAUGGACUCGCGGCUUAUCAGCUUGUUGGUGGGGUAGUGGCUUACCAAGGCUUUGACGGGUAGCCGGCCUGAGAGGGUGACCGGCCACAUUGGGACUGAGAUACGGCCCAGACUCCUACGGGAGGCAGCAGUGGGGAAUAUUGCACAAUGGGCGGAAGCCUGAUGCAGCAACGCCGCGUGCGGGAUGACGGCCUUCGGGUUGUAAACCGCUUUCGCCUGUGACGAAGCGUGAGUGACGGUAAUGGGUAAAGAAGCACCGGCUAACUACGUG
rnacentral:rRNA from 1 species